rnacentral:rRNA from 1 species
UGGAAGCGAUUAAGGGCGUACGGAGGAUGCCUAGGUAUCGAGAAGCGACGAAGGACGUGUCAGGCUGCGAAAAGUAUCGGCGAGCCGCCAAGAAGGCUUUGACCCGGUAAUGUCCGAAUGGGGGAACCCAGUCCGCAAGGAUUACCAUGAACUGAAUAAAUAGCGGAGGAUGGGUA